GAUCGUAAAGGGCCAUUCCCACCCCAAAAGCUAGCCAUUGAGGUGAGGGGCUCACCCACUUAUAUCUUAGGUCCUUUGCCCUUCUACAACCAAUGUGGGAUUAUUCAACAAUCUCCCCCUUCACACGUUGGUGUCCCUCAGUUCUUCACCGCCCCUUCACCCAUUGGUGUCCCUCAGCCCUUCAACGCCCCUUCACCGGUGUCCCUCAGCCCUUCACCGCCCCUUCACCCAUUGGUGUCCCUCAGCCCUUCACCGCCCCUUCACCGGUGUCCCUCAGCCCUUCACCGUCCCUUCACCCAUUGGUGUCUCUCAGCACUAAACCGCCCCUUCACCGUAUCCGGGCCCCACCGGUCCACGGAUCGUAAAGGGUCUUUCCCACCCCAAAAGCUAGCCAUUGAGGUGAGGGGCUCCCCCACUUAUAUUUUAGAUCCUUUGCCCUUCCACAACCAAUGGCACCAACCAAACUAUUACCCUACCCAGUCUGUCGUGUUUGGUGUUGUCAUAUAA
rnacentral:lncRNA from 1 species